CCUACGGGAGGCAGCAGUGAGGAAUAUUGGUCAAUGGACGCAAGCCUGAACCAGCAACGCCGCGUGCAGGAAGAAGGUUCUAUGCUUGGUAAACUGUUUUUAUACGGGGGUAAUUACAGAUACGUGUAUAUGGAUGAAAGUACGGUAUGAAUAAGGAAAGGCUAACUCCGUGCCAGCAGCGGCGGUAAUACGGAGGUUCCGAGCGUUAUCCGGAUUUAUUGGGUUUAAAGGGUGCGUAGGCGGUCAGGUAAGUUAGAGGUGAAAGCCCGAGGCUCAACAUCGGAACUGCGUCUGAUACUGUCUGACUAGAGUGCAGGUGAGGAAGGCGGAAUGUGUGGUGUAGCGGUGAAAUGCUUAGAUAUCACGCAGAACACCGAUGGCGAAGGCAGCUUUCGGGGCUGUUACUGACGCUGAGGCACGAAAGCGUGGGGAGCGAACAGGAUUAGAUACCCUUGUAGUC
rnacentral:rRNA from 1 species